UACAGAGGUCCCAAGCGUUGUUCGGAUUCACUGGGCGUAAAGGGUGCGUAGGUGGGCAGUUAAGUCAGUGGUGAAAUCUCCGAGCUUAACUCGGAAACUGCCAUUGAUACUAUCUGUCUUGAAUAUCCUGGAGGUGAGCGGAAUAUGUCAUGUAGCGGUGAAAUGCCUAGAUAUGACAUAGAACACCAAUUGCGAAGGCAGCUCACUACGGGGUUAUUGACACUGAGGCACGAAAGCGUGGGGAUCAAACAGG
rnacentral:rRNA from 1 species